rnacentral:rRNA from 1 species
GUCGUAACAAGGUUUCCGUAGGCGAACCUGCGGAAGGAUCAUUAA